UACGUAGGUGGCAAGCGUUAUCCGGAUUUACUGGGUGUAAAGGGCGCGUAGGCGGGUUUACAAGUCAGAUGUGAAAUCCCGGGGCUUAACUCCGGAGCUGCAUCUGAAACUGUAGAUCUUGAGUACUGGAGAGGAAAGUGGAAUUCCUAGUGUAGCGGUGAAAUGCGUAGAUAUUAGGAGGAACACCGGUGGCGAAGGCGGCUUUCUGGACAGUAACUGACGCUGAGGCGCGAAAGCGUGGGGAGCAAAC
rnacentral:rRNA from 1 species